rnacentral:misc_RNA from 1 species
GCAUUGGAUAGCCAAAUACAACGCCCUGACUCUACUAGUCUGUCAUUGCUAUGGUGGUUUGAUGUUUAUUUUAAACAUGCAUUCCUAUGACAAACGUGUUUGGUAUGGAAUUUGGGACUUUGAGAAAUCCAUUAGACUUGUGUAAAUAGUUUGCUUUUUAUGCGCUAUGAUUUCAUUAUUCUUAUGAAUGCUAGUAUUCAAUGUAAUAAUUUGUUUCUCUUUUGCAUAUAUUUAAGUUGAUUUUCGUGAUUAGGUAUGCGAUACAUUCUUCUGUUAUGCAAUAUUUCAAUUUCUGCGUACGGCGAAUCCCCAAUAGAAACAAUUGAAACCAUCUGGUCUUUUGGCGUUAGCUAUUUAUCAUAAAUGCCAGUUUAGUUGGGGAUAUUUUGGCAAAAUCGCUGCGCAAAACAAAAAUUAUAAUUUGAAUAACAGAUUUUAUUAAAAAGCCUUCUGUUACACAAAAAUCCGAUAUGUUUCUUUUAAUAUCAGUUAUUGAUUUUUGUUUGUGGUAUUUGUUAAUUUGUCAUAAAUUGACAAUAUAAAUGUUUGCAUAAUUGUUAUUUAAAUUAAUGUCAUUGUAUCAUGAUUAACGCGCGCACAGUGUAAAAUAGACUUUUUUAAAUAUUGCUUUCCGGUGCUUUUGUUUUUCUCUUUGUAUUGCUAUUACGUUUUUUCUUGCAACUUCUACCGAAUGUGUAUUUUAAAAAAAUCAACCUGUUAAUAUAUGCAAUUCUAAACUUUACACGUUGUAAAUUUCAAUUUGGAUUUCAAACAAUGUUCUGUACUUAACUUGCUGUUGACUAAUCAGUUACACUGUUAACAUUAACUACUUAGAAACCCACUAAGAACUAAGAUGAUGUCCAAAUAAGGCUAGAUCUUUAAUUAAACGACCGGCCAGGUCUCUAGAUCUAAGAAUACCUAUGUGUGGUAUGUUUUAUCUCCUUGACCCCUCACUGUUUUCCAUAGCGUGUCUCGUUGACAUAUUUGUGGGAUGAUUUACCGACUCCCUGACAGGCCGCUCUGUGAAAGGCAUCCCCAUGGUCUAUAUUUGUCAACAAUUUAGUGUUCUGACUUCAGUUUUAUCUUAAGACGACACUACAAAAAUUCAUUGUAUAAGCUUCGAUAUGAGUUGUUAUAUGCUGUGUAAUUUGAACAUUUUUUAUGUACAUAAAUAUUGUAAAGUACGCUAUGUCCUGAUUUAUUUAUUUUUUAAUUAUUUGUUAUUGGUAUUUAUUUUGUGCAUUUGAAUUGCAUAAGUCUGUGAUACAAUGUAAAUGAAAUAAAUUGUACUAAAUC